CUACGGGAGGCAGCAGUGGGGAAUAUUGGACAAUGGGCGAAAGCCUGAUCCAGCCAUGCCGCGUGUGUGAAGAAGGCCUUCGGGUUGUAAAGCACUUUCAGUGGGGAAGAAAGCCUUGGGGCUAAUACCCUCGAGGAAGGACAUCACCCACAGAAGAAGCACCGGCUAACUCCGUGCCAGCAGCCGCGGUAAUACGGAGGGUGCGAGCGUUAAUCGGAAUUACUGGGCGUAAAGCGCGCGUAGGCGGUCUGAUAAGCCGGUUGUGAAAGCCCCGGGCUCAACCUGGGAACGGCAUCCGGAACUGUCAGGCUAGAGUGCAGGAGAGGAAGGUAGAAGUCCCGGUGUAGCGGUGAAAUGCGUAGAGAUCGGGAGGAAUACCAGUGGCGAAGGCGGCCUUCUGGACUGACACUGACGCUGAGGUGCGAAAGCGUGGGUAGCAAACAGGAUUAGAUACCCCGGUAGUC
rnacentral:rRNA from 1 species